rnacentral:rRNA from 1 species
GUGGGGAAUUGUUCGCAAUGGGCGCAAGCCUGACGACGCAACGCCGCGUGGAGGAUGAAGACCUUCGGGUCGUAAACUCCUUUCGACCGAGAUGAAUUCCUCUCGACCUAACACGUCGAGGGGGUGACAGUAUCGAGGGAAGAAGCCCCGGCUAACUCUGUGCCAGCAGCCGCGGUAAUACAGGGGGGGCAAGCGUUGUUCGGAAUUACUGGGCGUAAAGGGUUUGUAGGUGGCUUGCUAAGUCAGACGUGAAAUCCCUCAGCUUAACUGGGGAACUGCGUCUGAUACUGGUGAGCUUGAGUGCAGGAGAGGAACGCGGAAUUCCAGGUGUAGCGGUGAAAUGCGUAGAUAUCUGGAGGAACACCGGUGGCGAAGGCGGCGUUCUGGACUGCAACUGACACUGAGAAACGAAAGCCAGGGGAGCAAACGGGAUUAGAAACCCGAGUAGUCC